rnacentral:rRNA from 1 species
GACGAACCGUGCGAACGUUAUUCGGAAUCACUGGGCUUAAAGCGCGUGUAGGCGGGCCGGCACGUCGGUGCCUGAAAGCCCCCGGCUCAACCGGGGAAUGGGGUCCGAUACGACCGGCCUGGAGGGACGUAGGGGGACCUGGAACUUCCGGUGGAGCGGUGAAAUGCGUUGAGAUCGGAAGGAACGCCCGUGGCGAAAGCGAGGUCCUGGACGUCUGCUGACGCUGAGACGCGAAAGCCAGGGGAGCGAACGGG